rnacentral:rRNA from 1 species
GACGGAAGGUGCAAGCGUUGCUCGGAAUCACUGGGCGUAAAGGGUGCGUAGGCGGCCGCGCAAGUCUGGCGUGAAAGCCCCGGGCUCAGCCCGGGAAGGGCGCUCGAAACGGCGCGGCUCGAGUGCCGGAGGGGAGAGUGGAAUUCCUGGUGUAGCGGUGAAAUGCGUAGAUAUCAGGAGGAAUACCGAUGGCGAAGGCAGGUCUCUGGGCUAGAACUGACGCUCAUGCACGAAAGCGUGGGGAGCAAACAGG